UACGGAGGGUGCAAGCGUUAUCCGGAAUCACUGGGUUUAAAGGGUGCGUAGGCGGGUUAGUAAGUCAGUGGUGAAAUCUUUCGGCUUAACCGGAAAAUUGCCAUUGAUACUGUUAAUCUUGAGUAUGGUUGAAGUGGGCGGAAUGUGGCGUGUAGCGGUGAAAUGCUUAGAUAUGCCACAGAACACCGAUUGCGAAGGCAGCUCACUAAACCAUCACUGACGCUGAGGCACGAAAGCGUGGGGAGCAAACAGG
rnacentral:rRNA from 1 species